ensembl:lncRNA
UCACCAUCUACUAAGUUUGCAUCGAUGUCCAGCAAUGAGCACAUAUAAACGUAAUGUUCUCAUAAUGUUGUUCGCAGCUGCAUCUCAUGGUGCCUAGCAUGGUACCUGGCCUGUAUAGAUGCUAAAAAAAAAUUUGAUAAACAAUCAGCGAAUGACAGAAUGCUUAAUACCUUUUUGCUAACUGAUUCUAUAUCCUAUAUCAUGGCCAGAGAAGAAACCAAGUUCAAGAAAGCAAGACAACUGUAGGCGUGUGCUUCUGGAAAAGGGGAUGCUGGGCGGGCAGGGAGUGGCUCUGUCGUUCUGGUGAGGAUUGAGGCAGAAGAAAUUUGGAAAGUGAAGCAUGAAGCCGGAGGUGCCAUUAUGGUCUGGGGAGGUCCAGGGGAGGCCCAUGGGAGUGUGGGGUGCGUGGCUACAGGUCCGUGUCAGAGGAGCCGAGGUUUCUGGGUGUGCACAAUUGUGCGGAGGCCUUGGACCUCCUAUCCUUGCUAAGUGCUGCAGAAUGUCAUCCCCGGGAGAUGAGAGAGGGACAUCCUAGCCGAGAGCAAGACAGAGCCCAAACCAGAACUCCUUAGAGUCCUUUGCCUCUUGCCAACCAUUUGGCGGCAAAAGAUGGAAGCUGUUUUGCUUCUUGAGACCCUCAGAAACCAGAAGAGUGGGUUCUGGUUACACUUGAUCUUGGGCAGUUGGAGUUCUCUCAAUUCUAUGCCCUUUGACUUCUAACAGUAACUGUGCCGCUACAAUGCAUUUGAUAGCAAAGCAAGUGAGGAUGACAAAUCCCUACAUGAUAAAAAUAGCUACUGUUUAUUAAGGACCUUCACUCUUUUCAGUUACUGUAUUAGGUACAUUUCCAAGUUACCUCACGUAAGCCCCAAAAUAACCCUAUGGGUUAAGUAUCACGAUUCACAUUUUAUAGUUAAGGAAACUAAAGCUCUUACAAUUGCCCCCAAAAUACAUAGCUAAUCCAGCCACGGGGCUUCUACCUGACCCCAAACCUGGGCGCUUUCCAGUAGAGUCUAUUGCUUGCCUCCCACACGCAUGCACUGUUCCCUCACACCUUAAACUAUUUCUGGGAUUCGAUCCUAUACAGCUCUCCAAUCAUGUCCUUCUGGGGUCGUCCUGGCAACUCACCAACUGCAGUAAAUAUCGCGAAAGGAGUUUGUCUCUUUCUGGGAUCAGCAGGUCUCAGCUGAUCCGUUACGUUCACCAUGGGAAUCUAAGAAUUUAUCAUCUGAGUGAAGAGUUGCCUUCCUCCCAGGGCUUCUCCAAGUUUUUCUCGAAGGAUUCCACCGGCCAGACAGGGCUCUGGAAGCUCAGCCCUCAAGACUUGCCGCACGUGGGAGGCUGCUGGGAGACCGUUUUGAAAAUGCAAGCACACACAGCAACAAGGACGCAUCCCACAAAUGAAACGUUCCGCAAAAGAAGUCUGCCUCAAACGACUGUGCACAAUAGUGUUCCAUUUACAUCAAGUUUUAAAGGGGGCCAAGCCAAUCGAAGGUGUCAGAAGCCAGUGUAGGGGCUACGUGGAGGAAGGGGGACAAUGGAGAGGGG